GUAAAUUACUAAUGUCUCAUUUUCUCAGCGUUCUCAUCCCUGAUUUCCAUGUAUCUGUGAGCAGGGGUCAAGAAAGAAGAUCUUCAUGCUUGGUGUAAGGAUGCAUCAUCUCCAGCCUCAAUGUACACCAUCGUGUGAAAGGACCCAUCAACAGCUGUAGAAUCUCUGCUGAGUCCUGGCUGCUCCUUUCAGGCAGCCUUCCUGGAGAGCACUGAAUCCAGCUCCUGCCAGAAGGCUAUAACAUGGGGUCCAUACUUUGUCUCCAGUAAAACUUGGAAUGCUGCCCAAUCCAAACAGGGCUAGGGGGCCAUUUGCAGAAGAAUUGAUUUCAGGGAUUAGGCCAGUGGAAUUUGUCCCAUGAAGUCUGUAUUUUGUAGUCAC